rnacentral:lncRNA from 1 species
AUUUCUCCAAUAAUGUUCUUCAGAUCAAAAAGCUCCAUGUGGUAGGCAGAAAUUUGCGCCCCCACCCGCCAAAACCCCUGCUGUCAAAGCUGUUCCAUCCUAAUGGUAAGAACCUGUGAAUAUGUUUCCUUACAUUGCAAACUGUGAUUAAGGUUAGGGACCUUGAAGUGAGAAGAGUAACCUGAAUUACCCAGGUGAGCCCAAUUUAAUCACAUUAAUUCUUAAAAGUGGAAAAGUUUUUCCAGCUGUGGUCAGAGAGACUCAAGAUGGCAGGCAGAGGAUUCCACUUUGACCACGCCCAGUGGUUGCUGGUUCUGAGAUGCAGGGGGCUGUGUGCAAGGAACUGAAUUCUGCCAACAACCUGAAUGAACGAGGCAUUGGAUCCUUGUCUAGAGCCUUCAGAAAGGGACACAGCAGUGCCAUCACCUUGAUGUUGGCUGGGACACAGCUCCACUGGCUCGCGGAGUCCAUCGUUGUGGGCACUGUCUUAGACCCGUCUGAUUUCCUUCCUAUGUGGACAAGGCUCCAGAGAAACAAGAGGGACCCAACCAGCGACACUGCUUGCAAGAUAGCUACUUCAUCCCAGCUAAAAUCAGCUCUAACUGCAUUAAAGUGACCUGCCCUCAUUAACAUCUCAAAUUCUGCACAUGUGCACAUGCUACUACAUGCGCCUUAAGAGAACAUGACUACUGGGCAAUAAAGCCAAAUCUCCUGCCUUUCCCUUAACUGAAUAUUCACUAACCGUACUCUGAUAAAAGGACCCCUCAAACCCUUGCUCUGGGAGACACCACUUUGGAAAAUAUCCCUGGUAUUUUCUACUGCUUUUGCAGGUAAUAAACGUUUCUUCACC